rnacentral:sRNA from 1 species
AAAAUACACUAAUCUACAAAUGGUUGUCAAAGCUAUGGUGACCAGACGUCUGGGAAAAGGAGGCCAUGUCCUUUUGUAUCAGUGUAUCCAGUGAUUGUGGAGAGUCUGAAUUGUUGGAAACUAAGCAGAUGUCUUUUGUGGUGCCUGAAGACUGUAGUGGGGACAUGGAGUGAAUCGGGGAAGGCUGUCGUUGGUCUGUACACAGGUUGCUGGUGAAAGAACUGGUAUAAUUAGAAACAAUACUAUUUCAAUGCAGGAGACUGUCAUGUAUUUGUCCUGGACCAGCUUCUUGAAAUAUCCACAAAUGAGGAAAUGAAAAGAAUGUUUGGUAACCUUGUAACAACCAUGACUAGAUGCAUGACGCGUGCCACGUACAAUGUGGAUUCAUUGCCUUCAUGACCUCAUCACAAAUAAAGAUACAGACAAGAAAUGUGUGCGCAUUGUUGAUCCGGGCAUAAAUAUACUCUGUUAAUCUCAUUCACAUCAUCGAAGUCAUUAAUAUUUUAAAAAUGUUUUCCAAACAAAAGCAAUAAACACUUUUGUCAAUAA